rnacentral:rRNA from 1 species
GAUGAACGCUGGCGGCGUGCUUAACACAUGCAAGUCGAACGGGAAACCUUUUAUUGAACUUUCGGCAGAUUAAGCUGGUUUGUAGUGGCGGACGGGGGAUUAACUCGUGGUUAGCCUGCCUUAAACUGGGGGAUACCAACCAGAAACGGUUGCUUAUAUCGCAUAACCGCACUGGACCGCAUGAGCCGGUGUGGAAAACUCGGGUGGGUUAAUAUGGACCCCCAUUGCAUUUGCUUGUUGGAAGGGUAACGGGCUACCACGGUGACGAUCCAUAGACGGGAUGGGAGAGUGGGCGGCGACUCUGGCACUGGGACACAGCACAGACUCCUACGCGAUGCAGCAGUGGGGGAUAGUGCACAAUGGGGGGAGCGCUGAUGCAGCGACGCCGGGUGAAGGAAGAAGUAUCUCGGUAUGUAAUCUUCUAUCAGCAGUGAAGAUAGUGACGGUACCUGACUAAGAAGCCCCGGCUAACUACGUG